UACGAAGGGGGCUAGCGUUGUUCGGAAUUACUGGGCGUAAAGCGUGCGCAGGCGGCUUUUCAAGUCAGGGGUGAAAGCCCAGAGCUCAACUCUGGAACUGCCUUUGAGACUGAGAGGCUUGAGUACGGGAGAGGUGAGUGGAAUUCCCAGUGUAGAGGUGAAAUUCGUAGAUAUUGGGAAGAACACCAGUGGCGAAAGGCGGCUCACUGGCCCGGUACUGACGCUG
rnacentral:rRNA from 1 species